GAUGAAGAACGUAGCGAAAUGCGAUACUUGGUGUGAAUUGCAGAAUCCCGUGAACCAUCGAGUCUUUGAACGCAAGUUGCGCCCGAAGCCAUUAGGCCGAGGGCACGCCUGCCUGGGCGUCACACGUCGUUGCCCCCCCAUCUACUCCUUCGGGAUUGCGGGGGGCGGAUGAUGGCCUCCCGUGCGCCUCGUCGCGCGGUUGGCAUAAAUGCCAAGUCCUCGGCGACGCACGCCACGACAAUCGGUGGUUGCGAAACCUCGGUUGCCCGUCGUGUGCGGUCGUCGCGCAUCGAGGGCUCGAAAAAAUUGCCGGGCUCCGGCUCGGCUUUCAACGCGACACCAGGUCAGGCGGGGUUACCCGCUGAAUUUAAGCAUAUCAAUAAGCGGAGGA
rnacentral:misc_RNA from 1 species